AUUCAUUUAAAAAAUUCCACUUGCUCUCCACUUCUGUGAGCUCUUUUAUGGAGUCUUCCCCCCUCCAUUUUUUUUUUUAAAUUUUCAAAAUUACACAAUAGCUUAAAAGAGUGGAAUCACCAUUGUGUAUCUCAGAAAAAUGUGCUGAGACACUGUGAUUCAUAUCUCCAAUAAUGUGAUUCAAUAUUGAUUACUGUCUGGGAAAAGGAAAAAGCACCCGUUUCUUCCUCAUGGUGUCAGGUUACAGAAGCUGCAGUUGUGAAAGUCUAAAUUUUGAACAGCACAUUUGAAG